GAAAUAUGAAUAUUCAAAAAUAAGCUUCUAACUUAAUUUUUAAGCGAUUUAUAAUCGUUUAUAUUUCU
rnacentral:tRNA from 1 species